AGUAACUAAUGCAAUCUGUAAGCUUCCAAAGGUUGCAGGAUCACCUAACUAUACCAGGUGCCUGAGGGGACAUCCAGACAGUGUGAAGAAUGAAAUGACGUGGAGCCUGCUGGAGGAAUGAGGCCAGGAAACAGCAAAGACAGAGACCCAGUGCCAGGAGCUGAGGAGCGCUGUCUGCAGACAGAACACUGUCUCGAGAGCACCUUCUUAUGGAUCAUAGAACCCUGGAUGAACUUCUUGACUUUCAAAAUGACCUGCCACCCAUGGAGUGCUUAAGAGUGUUACAGAAAAAUCAUGUUAAGAAAGAUCAAGAGAAUAAACAAGGUGGGUCUGGACUUGCCUUGGACCACAAAAGAGAGCUCAGAGGAUGAAGUGGGACAAAGAGACAGAAUAACAUGUGUUUGGAAAGUGGCAAGCAUUUAGAGGUGGGGGAGUAUACUUAUGAACUCAGUUCAUUCAUGAAACUUCAACCAUAUCCCUUCUGGAGUCCGUGUUCUUCUUCAGCUGUGAGAGGACUCCCGUAUUUGGUGACAGCUGUGAGUUUUGUAACCAACUGGUUUCUUCAGAGAGAUUCUCCAGUACUGAAGGCCAGUGCAAGUGAUCUAGUGGUCGUAUCCAGGGAAGAGGGAUCCUCCAGGAGCCAAGCUUACCGCUGCAGACCCUGGUUCCCUCCAGCCUUCCUUCCGUCACCGUCACAGGAGGUACAGACAAGUACUUAGAGACAGACACUGGCCCUUGAACAACUCCACUAUUCCCCAGCCCCACUCACACACCAGUCCCGAAGCCUCUGCCAUUUGGAUCCCCUCAAGCACAGCCUUCCCCCAGGACUGACUGGAAUAAAAAUAUCAAUGUGUCUUUGGUCA